GAAAAAGUCAAGUUAAAUCUAGCAGUUUAUUAGGGUUUUCUGCUAUCUCCAUCUAAGUUUCUUAAUUAAAAUUAAGAUAGGGGAGUUCCUGCCAUGGUACAGUGGUUAAGAACCUGACUGCAGCAGCUCAGGUUGCCGUGGAGGUUUGGCUUUGAUCCCCAGUAAUCUGAUGUUGCCACAGCUGCUGCAUGUGUCGUGGCUGUAGCUCAGAUUCAAUUCUUGGCCCAGGAACUUCCAUGUGCUGCGAGUGUGGCCAUAAAAUGGAAAAAAAAAGUAUAAAUAUACUGAGUUUUUACAUUGUGUCUUUAUUUCCCUCACUAGAUUACUCAGUGCAGUAACUGAAAUUCAGGAGUAAAUAGAUUUCUCACUUUUGAUGAAUGAUAAUUCUAGCAGUCUAUGCUGUCAAUUUACUAAGUCUCCUUAGAGGCUGUCUGAACAGGAGUGGCAGAAAGAACUUCCAUUUUAUCACAGGAAGCUCCUCAACCCACAUUAUAAUAAAAGCAAUUAGUGCUUUUAUCCCACCAGUUCCUCAGGCAAGCGGGGCUGCUCAGCACUGGUAAAGUCUAAGUUAAACUAAAAUCUUUUCUCAAAUAAUAUAUGCUGAAAUGAACAUCUUUGAGCAUAUAGAUUUAUUUGCAUUUACAAAUUCAUUGUAUGUAUUGGUAGAUUUCUUCUAAGGGUGAUUGCCUUUCACUGAGUCACAUUUGUACCAACAGCAUAUGAGAAAGUUGGCUAACUUAAUAUUUUUUAGUUUCAUAGUUUGAAAAGGAAAAAUAUAACAUCUUACUGCAUUAUAUUGUAAAAAUUAUUUUUCUUUUGCAUUCUCUGAAUAAUGAAUAAAAAUUAGAAGUUGUAAUGAUAAUUUGUAACUUUUCAAAUAGCUUUUAAUCCAGGUAAUACAUCUACUUGGUAACAAAAUAAUACAUAUGAUCUUAUGUUUCAUAUGAGCUAUUUUUAGAGACUUAUAUCCUCAAAUCAGCCAUUACUCUUCAGAGAAAAACCUCUUUUUAAAAGUGCUAUUUUAGAUUUCAUUUUAGUCAUUUCCAUAUUUCACGUAUUUUUAAAUUUUCAUUCACUGAUUUAUCAACUUUUAUCUAGUGAUUCCCAGAUACAAAAAAUAAGGAUCUAGCUUGUUUACUUACAUUGGUCUUCCCCCCCCCCCUUUCUCCAGUGUUUGCUAUUUAAAUUUUGCUGUUAUUUGGCUGUUCAAUUUUAUAAAUGUGCGUGAUCAGCUUAAAUCAUUCUUCUUUAAUGGGCCAUGGACAAUGUUACUCAAAGAUUGACAAGUCUCAGUUUGGGGAUCUUGUUUGGGUUUCUCUGAUAAUUACAAUAAUGUGGUUGGAGGUAGAGUCAUUUCAAAAGCUUCAUUUUGCACAUAAGUGGGGAUUAAUAAUAGCUUAUGCUGUUACCUCAGCUGGGAUUGUCAGCCACAGCAUCUAGACAAAGUCUCUUUAUGUGGUUUGAGCUUUCUCAAAGCAUGGCAGCUUCAGAGUACUUGGACUUCUUAUAUGGUAUCUCAGGGCUCUGAAUGUGAGUCUCUAAAGAGAAUGAGGAGAAAUAUUUGUGCUCUUUUUAUCCUAGCUUUGGCAGUUACUCAUUACCCCUCUGCUUCAUUUCCUGUUUAAGUGGGAGUCACUAUGUUUGACCAAGAAUCAAAGAUAGGAUAAGGGUGAUAGAUUCCACAUCUUGAUGUCAAGUAGUAUACAAAUAUAUUUUAUAACUGCUACAGUGAUCUUAUAAAUAUUAAGAGCAGCCUAAGUAGUAUUUUGGAAUUUCACUUCCUUCUCUAGGUGUCUAAAAUCAGAAUCACUGGGCCACAAGAAGAAGGUCAGUUGGAUUUUCCUUUCACCCCAUCAAAUGCUUAAAAUAAUCUUACAUUUUAUUUUGCUUUUUAUUUUAUGUUUGAACCACAAAUCUCUUGCAUAGCUGUCUUGUUCCUCUCUCUGUCUUUUUUAAGUUUCCUAAUUGCAUGUUUGUCUUCUGCAAUUUGCCUUGGUAUUCUCCUUAAUAUUUUUCUCUAGCAUCUCAGUAGCACCUUCUAGUCACAGGAUUAUUUUUCUUUUCCUGGUUGUCUUUAUUCCAGAGUUCUUUGGAGUUUUUUGGUACCAAUUUGGGCAGGUUCUAUCUAGUCCUGUAGCAUAGUUUUCAUGCUGAGAUUCUCCUUUACUAUUCCCCUGCAUUAGAGCCAUCUAGACUUCCAUUUUCUUAUUUAUGCUCUCUCUUUUUUAAAGAGGCAGAGCAAGAUGGCAGAGUAAGAGGUCACAUUCUCUUUCUCCCACAAACACAUCAAAAAAACACAUCUACAUGUAAAACAACUCACACAGAACAUCAACUGAGUGCUGGAAGAAGAACUUAAACCUCCAAAAAGGGCAAGAAACUCUUGACAUAACUGGGUAGACAAAAGAAGGAGAGAGAAAAGGAAUCAGGAUGGGACUAGCAUUCCUGAGAGGGAGCUAUGAAGGAGAAAAGGAACCCACUUCCUGAGAAGCAACCUAAGUGACUGUAAGAUCAGCCGAGUCAGAGAGACCUCAAAGUUGCUCAGAAAAGUGCAGCAACUGAACUGAGAAUGGCAAAACAGAGUGAGAGCCACACAGAUCCUCUGAACCACUGGCCUGGACACCAUAGCCUGAGAGGCUCGGGCAGGGGCUAGCCACUGAGACUUAGGCUCUGGAGGUCAGUCCCAGGGAGAGGACUGGGGUUGGAGGUGUGGGGACAGCCUGGGGGGCUAAGGAGCAGUCUGCCACAGGCUGGGAAGCAGUACACCAUGGGCUAAGGAGGGGAACGCCAUGGCAGAGGGAACCUGGGAGAAGGUCCAGACCCACAGGAGAGGCAAGGCGCCAUGUUGGGGAGGGCAAGAGGAGGAGGGGUGGGCCACCCUAGGAAACUCUCUGAACCAGAACUGAGCAUGCCCGCAGGUGCUCAGAGGACAGGGCGGUUCUGGUGCAUGCUAUGGGUAGCAAGAAGCCUCUUGCUCAUUUAGGGGAGACUGGGAACUUCUUGUGCAGGCUACCAGUGGCCAGGCACCUUUUGUGUGGGCUAAGGGCAUCAGGGGGCUAAGUGUGAUGUGGUGUCUCUUGCAUAAUCCAGGGAUGGCAGGGACAGAUGGUGGCAGUCAUCUCAGAGGCCAGAGGGAAGCAUGGCUUGUCACCACUGGGGCCUGUGAGUGGGCUUCACCUGCAAAUCCAGCACCUCAGGGGUUGGCAAAAAAGAAAAAAUAAAGGGCACUGCAACCAAGCACCAUACACUGUUACUCUCACUCUCCUGGGAACAUACCCACCCUGCAGCUUCCACUGCCAGACACUCUGGGCGGUGCCCGGACACUUGGUCACUGUCCCUUUCCAAGACUCUAUAACUAGAAGCAGCUGGUAUACCUCCUCCUGCGUGGGCUAAGUGGGACAGUGUGUUUCUUGCAUUGUCUGUGUGGGGUGGGGGCAAACUGCAGUAGUUAUCUCUGACUCCAGAGGUGGGCAUGGCCCACUGCUACUGGGGAUACCUGAACAAAAAUCACUUGCAGCCCCAACCACCUCAGAGGGCAUCAAAGAGAAGCACAUUGCAAUGGAAUACCACCUGCUGUUGCUCUCACUCCCCUGGGAGCACACCUGCCUUGCUGCUGCCACCGCCAAAUUCUCUGAGCAGUGCACAGAUGCCUGAUCACUGUCCCUUCCCAGGAACCUACAACUAGGAGCAUCUUGUGCAGCACCUCAUAUGUGGGCUUAGUGAGAUGGGUUGCUUCAUGUAAGGUCUACAGGUGGUGGGGGCAAACCAUCGCAGUUAUCACUGACUCCAGAGGUGGUCAUGGCCUGCUACCACUAGGGGUUCCUGAAAAGGCACCACCUGCAGUUCAAAUCACCUCAGAGGAGGGUGCUGCAAUCCAACACAAGCUGUUGCUGCUCUCACUUCCUUGGGAACUGACGCACCCUACUGCUGCUACUGCCAAAUGCUCUGGCCACCUUGUAGAUCUUCCAGGAGCUCAUUACCAUUUCCCAGGGCCUGCAACUAGGAGUAGCUUGUGCCACCUUCCCACAGGUCCUUGUUGCUGUUGAGAACCCAGUGACCAGGCACUGACUGAUGGCCCCCUACCCAUUGGCUCCUUCUCCCUGAAAACACACUGAGCAUCCUUGGGAUAACAGUCUGCUCACAUGAAGAAAGAGACAGCAAAUAUUCAAAUUCCCACACCAAAAAUAAAUAGUAAGCCCCCCAAAAAUACAAAGGGGUAUUCCGUCAUAGAAGCGGCCUUACAAGACUACAGUUUGGCUUUCCCAAACUUACAGAAAAAGGAAAACACAAGCAAGAUGAAGAAGCUCAGAAACCAUUCCCGGUUAAAGCAACACGAGAAUUCACCUAAAGCAGUUGACAAUGAAACAGACCUCUGCAAUCUGACAGACUUUGAGUUCAAAAGGGAGAUAGUGAAAAUACUGAAGAAAUAAGGGAGGAUAUGAAAAAUAAUGCAGAUUCCUUUAGAAAGGAACUGUAAAAAUGGAGGAGCCAAGAAAAACUAGAAAAUUCAUUUGCAAAGAUACAAACUGAGCUUAAGGCAAUAAAUACCAGAAUGAAUAAUGCAGAGGGACCAAAUAGUGACAUGGAAGAUAGAAUAAUGGAAAUCACCCAAUCAGGACAGCAGACACAAAACCAAAUGAAAAAAACAUGAAAGCAAUAUAAGAGACCUAUGGGAUAAUAUAAAGUAGACCAAUUUAUGCAUAAUAGGAAUUCCAGGAGGAGAAGAAAAAUAAAAGGGGAUUGAAAGUGUAUUUGAAGAAAUUAUGUCUAAAAACUUUCCAAAUCUAAAGGAUACUAAUAUCAAGAUACAGGAAGCACAGAGGGCUCCAAACAAGUUGAACCCAAAUAGGCCAGUAUGAACCAAGACAUAUUAUAAUAAAAAUGGCAAAAGUUAAAGAGAGGAUUCCAAAGGCAGCAAGAGAAAAGCAAAGCAUUAAUUAUAAGGGAACCCCCAUAAGGCUAUCAUCUGAUUUCUCUACAGAAACACUACAGGUCAGAAGGGAGUGACAAGAUAUAUUUAAAGUGCUGAAAUUAAAAAAAAAAAUUGCAACCUAGAAUACUCUAUUCAGCAAGAAUAUAAUUUAGAAUAGAAGGGGAAAUAAAGAAUAUUUCCAACAAACAAAAGCUAAAAGAGUACAGCAAUACUAAACCCAUUCUAGAAGAAAUACUGAAAGGGCUUCUCUAAAUUAAAAAAAAAGUAGGAAUAAUUAGGGUAGAGGAAACAAGAAUUGGAAAGCAAUCACUUAAAUAAACCAGCAUA
rnacentral:lncRNA from 1 species